UACAGAGGUCUCAAGCGUUGUUCGGAUUCAUUGGGCGUAAAGGGUGCGUAGGUGGCGAGGUAAGUCGGCUGUGAAAUCUCAGGGCUCAACCCUGAAACUGCAUUCGAUACUGCCUUGCUCGAGGACUGGAGAGGAGAUUGGAAUUCACGGUGUAGCAGUGAAAUGCGUAGAUAUCGUGAGGAAGACCAGUGGCGAAGGCGGAUCUCUGGACAGUUCCUGACACUGAGGCACGAAGGCCAGGGGAGCAAACGGG
rnacentral:rRNA from 1 species